rfam:Schistosoma haematobium scaffold761_12, whole genome shotgun sequence.
GCAUUACUGGGGAGUCGCACGAUAAGACGAAACGGCCGUCCAGUGC